GACAGAGGGUGCAAACGUUGUUCGGAGUUACUGGGCGUAAAGCGCGUGUAGGCGGCUAAGUAAGUCGGGCGUGAAAUCCCACGGCUCAACCGUGGAAGUGCACUCGAAACUGCAUAGCUAGAGUCCUGGAGAGGAAGGUGGAAUGCUUGGUGUAGAGGUGAAAUUCGUAGAUAUCAAGCGGAACACCGGUGGCGAAGGCGGCCUUCGGACAGUGACUCGAGC
rnacentral:rRNA from 1 species